GAUGAACGCUGGCGGCGUGCCUAAUACAUGCAAGUCGAGCGAACAGAUGAGGAGCUUGCUCCUCUGACGUUAGCGACGGACGGGUGAGUAACACGUGGAUAACCUACCUAUAAGACUGGGAUAACUUCGGGAAACCGGAGCUAAUACCGGAUAAUAUAUUGAACCGCAUGGUUCAAUAGUGAAAGACGGUUUUGCGGUCACGUAUAGAUGGAUCCGCGCCGCAUUAGCUAGUUGGUAAGGUAACGGCUUACCAAGGCAACGAUGCGUAGCCGACCUGAGAGGACGAUCGGCCACACUGGAACUGAGACACGGCCCAGACUCCUACGGGAGGCAGCAGUAGGGAAUCUUCCACAAUGGGCGCAACCCUGACGCAGCCACGCCGCGUGAGUGAUGAAGGUCUUCGGAUCGUAAACCGCUGUUAUUAGGGAAGAACACCUCUGUACUUAACCAUGCACGUCUUGACGGUACCUAAUCAGAAAGCCCCGGCUAACUACGUG
rnacentral:rRNA from 1 species